GGGCCUGUGGUUUAGGGGUAUAACGUUCGUUUCGCAUCACUAAGUGGUUAUGAAAGGUCCUGGGUUCGAUUCCCAGCCGGUCCA